GGAGAGUUGCCAGAGUGGUUAAUGGAGCGGUUUGCUAAACCGUCAUCGGGAAACCGAUGCAUGGGUUCGAAUCCCAUACUCUCCG
rfam:Flammeovirga sp. MY04 chromosome 1, complete sequence.